rnacentral:lncRNA from 1 species
AUCUAUGCCCCAAGUUGCAAAAGGCCACGGUGAAGCAAUUGGAUUUAAAUUGACCGGAGGCCGUUUUUGCAGCUUAGCGAAAAUUUGGCACUCAUGGCACUUCCGCGCGUGCCUCACACAAUCCGCAUUCAUAGUUGACCAGUAAUAACCUAGGUUCAUGAUUUUCCGAGCCAAGGCUAUCCCAUGCAUGUGUGACCCAGAUUCCCCAU